GGGGAUCCCGCAGCGGCCCCACAGGAGGGGGAUCCGAACCCCUGCCCGUACUGCCCGUACUGCCCGUACUGCCCGUACUGCCCGUACUGCCCGUACUGCCCGCAGCCCUGCCCCAGGCCCGGCGGGUCCCUCCCCAGUCAUGCUGAGGCUCAUCCCGCUGGAUCGCGGCCUCUCUUUGGCCACCGCUGUCGCAGGCGUUGGCACUCGGGACUCAGGUUUUCAAAGGAUGAGGCUGCUGAAACUGUAUUGCUUGUUCGAAUUUAUGGCAUUGAUACAUACAGUUCUGGACCCACCCAAAGACCACAGUAUCUACAUCUGUCAAGAACCUCUUAAAAACCUCUUGACCAGAAGAUCUGCAGUGAAGGUGUGCUGGCCACAAAGCCCACCAUCCUGGUGCCACCAUGUGCUGCUUGUCAAGGUGCCCCUUCUUCCCUGCUUCAUCAACUGAACAUUGUUGGCAGCAGUGAGCAGUUAAGUAGCUAAAUGUCUAUUCAAAGAGUGGCCUGCCAAGUUAUCAGUGCAGGCAUAUUUUUGUAAAGAAAUAUGCAGCUCAGCUUGUGGUGACCAUUGAGAAGCUGAGCUGCAAAAACAUCAACACCACAAGGACACAAUAUUUUUCUCCUGCUUACAACACGGUCGUUUAUUUUGGAAUUCUUAUGCCAGCUGAGGACUCCAGGGUGGUGACAGUAGAAGACUUGUCCAGAUGCCAGGGAAAAGAGAGAACUGUAUAUUGCUCCUGUCCUGAAAUGGUAGAGGGCAGGGAGAAAGGCUGGGUAAUGAUUUGAAAGAAUACAUUCCCAUAAGCUUUCCAAGGGAAUCCACAGAUUGCUCCCACCACAGAUUCCUGCAAUACUUUGAAAAUAUGUAUAAAAUGAG
rnacentral:lncRNA from 1 species